rnacentral:rRNA from 1 species
UACGGGGGGGGCAAGCGUUGUUCGGAAUUACUGGGCGUAAAGGGCUCGUAGGCGGCCAACUAAGUCAGACGUGAAAUCCCUCGGCUUAACCGGGGAACUGCGUCUGAUACUGGAUGGCUUGAGUUCGGGAGAGGGAUGCGGAAUUCCAGGUGUAGCGGUGAAAUGCGUAGAUAUCUGGAGGAACACCGGUGGCGAAGGCGGCAUCCUGGACCGACACUGACACUGAGGAGCGAAAGCCAGGGGAGCAAACCGGG